CCAGGCUGUUCUGGACAACGGUCCCUUGGACCGAUUCGGCGCCAAAUCCCCUCGGCCAAAUAUCUAUCUAUGCUAAUAUCGCGGGUUCCUCGGAGCCCGGAUCAAACAACAUCCCGAUCCCCAGUCCCCUUGAAGUUGCUGGAUACUAUUUGUAAACAUGUUGAAGGAUUCUUGCUGUUGUCCAGGUAAAGUUUCGCCCAACCACACCGCACCUCCUUGGCAGGUAAAAGAACUGCCUCGAAAUCGCGAGCUGCACGACAAAUAUCCAAUGCUUCCUCCGCAAGAACAGGCGCACGCAACGACCCUGGAACACCUUGGCGCCCCUCCCCACUAGCUGAGCGGCGUGCAUUCUUACAGUACUUUCUUCAUAGAGGUCUUCCUACUAGAACGGAGGAGGGACCAGCGAAAGCUCCGACACCGCAUUCCUCGAAGGUGAUCUACAGGCUGCAGCUGUCUAUCGUUAUUGCGGGGUAAAUAGAUAAACAUUUGCUA
rnacentral:sRNA from 2 species